rnacentral:rRNA from 1 species
UUAACACAUGCAAGUCGAACGAUGAACCCCGCUUGCGGGGGGAUUAGUGGCGAACGGGUGAGUAACACGUGAGUAACCUGCCCUUAACUCUGGGAUAAGCCUUGGAAACGGGGUCUAAUACUGGAUAUUGACUUUUCCUCGCAUGGGGAUUGGUUGAAAGAUUUAUUGGUUUUGGAUGGACUCGCGGCCUAUCAGCUUGUUGGUGAGGUAAUGGCUCACCAAGGCGACGACGGGUAGCCGGCCUGAGAGGGUGACCGGCCACACUGGGACUGAGACACGGCCCAGACUCCUACGGGAGGCAGCAGUGGGGAAUAUUGCACAAUGGGCGAAAGCCUGAUGCAGCGACGCCGCGUGAGGGAUGACGGCCUUCGGGUUGUAAACCUCUUUCAGUAGGGAACAAGGCCAGUGUUUAGCUGGUUGAGGGUACUUGCAGAAGAAGCGCCGGCUAACUACGUGCCAGCAGCCGCGGUAAUACGUAGGGCGCAAGCGUUAUCCGGAAUUAUUGGGCGUAAAGAGCUCGUAGGCGGUUUGUCGCGUCUGCCGUGAAAGUCCGGGGCUCAACCCCGGAUCUGCGGUGGGUACGGGCAGACUAGAGUGAUGUAGGGGAGACUGGAAUUCCUGGUGUAGCGGUGAAAUGCGCAGAUAUCAGGAGGAACACCGAUGGCGAAGGCAGGUCUCUGGGCAUUAACUGACGCUGAGGAGCGAAAGCAUGGGGAGCGAACAGGAUUAGAUACCCUGGUAGUCCAUGCCGUAAACGUUGGGC